rfam:Caenorhabditis briggsae complete genome, chrV
UAGCGAUGAUCGAUUCUUUGUACAGUGUCCGAGGCUUUCUGGCCCGACGUGGCCUGAAUAAGGCUGUAACCCAACGUUUCGGGCCGUUAGGCAGAAGAUGGAUGAAUUAGUGCAAUGUCUGAGCUUU